UCGUUCUUCAUUCUUGGAGAUUUACAUUUGACAACUUAAACUCAGCCGUAUACAUAAAUAAAUAUUUGUAAACCAUCAAGAUUUAAAGUUCUCGGAAACAUGGAAAUUUCUGUUGGGUUAAUUGGUCCCUUAAUUUUACUGGUUUUUGCCUGCCACGCGGUCACUGGAGCUCCAAACGAAAUGGGAAAGAUGGACGUCUACUCGGCGUCAGGAAGACUCCAACUUCCGGAAGUUCUCGUGGCCACACCAAUUUCAGUUUCAUACAAAGUCGAAGUCAAUCCCACUGGAUGGAGACAGCCUGCUCAGAAAACGGGAUAAAUUUCCGGAAACAUAUCUGCCACCAUGCAUCCAAACAAAUUAGGAUUCACCUUCCUUCACAUAAUUCUUGAGCUGUUUUCCACCCUGGGACAUUCAAGUGGGGCCGUUAUUCCUGCAGAACGGGAAACACCAAAACAUUUUACCAAGCAUUCGGGAGUAGAUGUGGAUGACCCAAUCUCAUCCUUCCCCAAAUCCGAUAUCAGCAUAUCGCUUCGAAAGCCGAAAUCCGUUUCAGAUGUAGCCUCAAAAGUUAAAAACAUCAUCGCCCAAAAACUUGGCGUCGACGUUGGACAAGUUACCGAUAACGCGACCCUGGUUGAGGACUUGGGUGCAGAUUCCCUUGAAAUGCUCGAGAUCGCAGUGGCGAUUGAGCAAGAAUUCGGGUGCGGCAUGUCAGAGGACGAUGUCCAGAAAAUAAACAGGGUUAUCGAUUUGGUUAAUUUUGUGAAUAAUCCUGGAUGUAUCUCACCGCCGUAAUUUUUUAGAAUCAGUUGGCAUAAAUUUUGGCGUGUGUUAUAGGUUUGUGGGAUUUUUUAAAUUAUGAUUUUUUAAAUUUUUCUUUGAAUUUUUUGAUUGAAUUAUUUUUAUUUUGUCAAAUAAAAGAUUAAUUGGA